CCUACGGGAGGCAGCAGUGAGGAAUAUUGGUCAAUGGGCGAGAGCCUGAACCAGCCAAGUCGCGUGAGGGAGUACUGCCCUAUGGGUUGUAAACCUCUUUUGUCGGGGAGCAAAAGCCGGACGUGUCCGGCUGUGAGAGUACCCGAAGAAAAAGCAUCGGCUAACUCCGUGCCAGCAGCCGCGGUAAUACGGAGGAUGCGAGCGUUAUCCGGAUUUAUUGGGUGUAAAGGGUGCGCAGGCGGAUUUUUAAGUCAGCGGUAAAAUCGUGGGGCUCAACCCCAUCCAGCCGUUGAAACUGGGGAUCUAGAGUGUGCGAGAGGUAUGCGGAAUGCGUGGUGUAGCGGUGAAAUGCAUAGAUAUCACGCAGAACCCCGAUUGCGAAGGCAGCAUACCGGUGCACAACUGACGCUCAGGCACGAAAGCGUGGGUAUCGAACAGGAUUAGAUACCCGAGUAGUC
rnacentral:rRNA from 1 species